UACGGAGGGGGCUAGCGUUGUUCGGAAUUACUGGGCGUAAAGCGCACGUAGGCGGCUUUGUAAGUUAGAGGUGAAAGCCCGGGGCUCAACCCCGGGAGGCGGAUGGAUACUGCAAGGCUUGAGUCCGGAAGAGGCAAGUGGAAUUCCCGGUGUAGCGGUGAAAUGCGCAGAUAUCGGGAGGAACACCAAUGGCGAAGGCAGCUUGCCGGGACGGUACUGACGCUGAGACGCGC
rnacentral:rRNA from 1 species